rnacentral:rRNA from 1 species
UAGUACGGCGAGUGAUGAGGGAAGAGCCCAAGAUUGAAAGCUGGCGCCUUCGGCGUCCGCAUUGUAAUCUCAAGAAGUGUUUUCCGCUUCGGACCAUGCCUAAGUCCCUUGGAAAAGGGCAUCAUAGAGGGUGAUAAUCCCGUACAUGGCAUGGAGCGCCCGAAGCUUUGUGAUACGCUUUCUAAGAGUCGAGUUGUUUGGAAAUGCAGCUCAAAAUGGGUGGUAAAUGCCAUCUAAGGCUAAAUAUUGGGGAGAGACCGAUAGCGAACAAGUACAGUGAUGGAAAGAUGAAAAGAACUUUGAAAAGAGAGUUAAACAGUACGUGAAAUUGCCAAAAGGGAAGGGUAGGAGGUCAGAGAUGCGUCGCAGGAUUCAGCCUUGCUUUUGCUUGGUGUUUUUCCUGCGUUGCAGGCCAACGUCGGUUUUGGGCACUGGAGAAGGGUAGGAGGAACGUGGCACCUCUCGGGGUGUGUUAUAGCCUCCUACUGGAUACAGCGACCGAGACCGAGGAACGCAGCGUACUCGUAAGAGCGGGCCUUUUGGCACCUUUACGCUUAGGGCGUUGGCAUAAUGGCCCUCUACCACCCGUCUUGAAACACGGACC